rnacentral:lncRNA from 1 species
GGAUGAUCGGGAACAACUCGACGUUUAUCGAAACCAACGGAGAGGAGUACCAACUUCACUAGGGAAGGGAGGACGACGUUACGAACAUCGAAAGAUGAUGUUUACCGACAUCAAAAGAAGACCAGACAUUACGCAUGACUGGGAAAGCACCGAAAGAUGGUGUUUACCGACACCAAGGAAGCAACACACGCGGGUGCUGACAGGAAGGAUGACCAAGGAUACCGGGUUGUAGGCAUGAAACAGGUGACCGACCAAAAUGUG